UAUUUUCUGCAUCCCAUUAUUUUUGCUUAAUUUUCACUUGCGUCUUUGAUUUUAUUAUUUCAGUACUGAUCCACUUUGUAUAUUUUGCUCUCUUACUGCUAUCAACAGUCUCUCUGAUUAUGUACAGUUUUAUUUUCUUCCACAUCCUGAUUUUUUUGUCUGCCAUUUUCAAUUCUCUUUAAUGGACUCCUCCAGUGGCCAUUGCUCACAGAUUAUGAAGUUUUUAUGAGUGGAAAGAAUUAAAAGGUUUAAAACCAUUCUCAGGAUAGGUUUUAUAGUUGGGAUUCUGGUAAUGAAGGGACAAAGAACAAAUAAAGAAAUAGGAUAACUGUCUACAGAGGCUGAUGGUUCUAUUUCUCAUUGAUAGACCAAUAGAUUGAAAACAAUUGUAUAAGGUAUAUAGAAGGAAAUGCCUUCAUAAAAUCAUGUAACUUGACAAUAAUUUAGAAUGGAGGUAUAAUAAAGCCACACAUCCUCAAUUUCCUUAUUUAUAAACUUUGUUCCAUCAGUGUUUUUCUCCAUGCACUAUUCCAUCAGUGGCAUAGCUACUUCCUGAGUUAGAAAACCAUAAUGGAUCUCUAUAUCAUACAGAGUUUGGAGGACUUAUUCAUUUUUCCUGCAAAAGUUAAAGUGCAAAACUUUCAGCCCAUCAAUCCUUUAGCAAGCUGUCCAAGGUGACAUUUCAUUAGCACAUUUUGUCAGUGGAUAAAUCGUACAGCAUGCUCUGAAGGGAAGGUGGAAAACAUCUAGUCCUUUUUCAUUAGAUCCAUCUGAACUUCAACCACUGGAGAUUACAUACAAAAAGCAUGUGAGACAGAAGCAGCGCUAUCCUGUCUAUAAACUGCAUUAAUCAUUCAUCCCCUACAGAGUGUCUUAAGUCAGUGCCAUGUCUCUGGUUAGGCCCCAAACUGGCUAUUCAAUUUUGAGCUGCAUGACAGAUACAUUUCAAGGAAAAUCAGAAACAUAACGACUCCUGCCAGGCUUGAUAAAGUCCUCAUUCAUCAAUUAAGAGGUUCCAAUAAGCUCAGAUGGAUAUGGAAAAAUAAGGAAACUUGCAUGAUAACACUUGAUGAUUUUCUCUAUUCUUUCUCAAUUUGCUGAAUUCCUGGGAAUAAGGAUCACAAAGGCUUACUGAAAAACCUGGAUUUAGAAGGACAUCCUACCAUCUGAAGCAAGAGGGUUCCUUUCAUAUUCUGCCUAGAUCAGGCUCUAUCCAGAAGCAAUUGAUAAGGAAAAGUUUUAUGGGCAACUUCAUAAUUCUCAGUCGUUUUAAUUCACUUAAAGUUCUCACUCUCUUUUUUUUGUUUCUUGUAAGCAUGAAAGUCUGUGGAAAUAGGAGUUUACCCUUUACUCUCAUGAUUUCAAUUUUGUUGGAUCAAAUCAGAAUGCUAGGAAUCUUUCCCAGUUUUAAAUAGCUAUAGGGUCGAAAUGUUUCUGAAACAUAUGCUCAGAUAUAAAUUUUUGUUCUAUAAUUCCAUCCAGGGAAUAUUUCAAACCAAGAGUUUUUUGUGUGUAUAAAGUGGGGAGAAUAUAUCUUUAUAAAAUGUACAGCAUUUUCAUUAGGCAAAUUAUCAAAGUGAAUGAAAACUGAUUAUAAAUGGAAGCUGUACCAGAAAACUAAUAAGCAUGAUAUCUGGUCAACCCCUAAGUGUAUUGUGAGAAGUAGCCAGGACCACUAAAAAAUAUCCAAUAUCACUGAGGUCAGAAUUUUUAGAAGCUAAUGCUAAUCAAUGAGAACUUCGAGAAAAGAAAAUAUAAUUUGUAUUGCUUGCUUAUAUGAACCCAUAGAGCUAGUCAAUCAACAGAUAUAUCUAAGAUCUCAUUGUGCCAAAGGUAACAUUUGGCAUUGUUGUGAGACUGCAUCAUGAUUAAACUUUAUUUCAAAUUACUUCAAAGUGCUUUGUUUCCAAUAAACAAAUGGUUUUCAAACUGUGCUCCUAAGAGCGUCAUGUAGCUAUUCCUCAGGUGUUUCUAGAGCAAAGAGGGCAGAUUGGAGCUCGGGUGGGGUUUGUGGGGAGCCUUCUAACAUCAACUGAAACAAACGUACUGCUACAUAUAGGACACUUCCUACUAAGGUUUCCUUCGGACAAAAAUUCUGCAUCUGAGAACCAUUAGAAAACCACUGUAAUAAUUAAAAUUGAGGAUAUCGUUUUUCUUUUACUGCCACAAGACACAAUUUAUUUUAAAAACACAAGCAGAAAUUUCCAUAUCUGAAUCUAAGCCAACCACUGGCUCAGAAAAUUUGGAUGAAAUAUCUUUAUUGCAUUGAUGGAAUUACUGAAAUUGGUUUGAUGAUCAGUAGCAUAGCCAACAUCAACCCAUUUAUUAAAGUGAUUAAUCAUGGUCUGUUAUUAAGCAGACUCUCCAAAUUUUUUUUUCCCUCUUGGCAUUUUGUCUUAUUAAAUAGAACUUAAAAGAAGUAUCUUAAUGAUCUUUUUUUGCUGUGAAAGUAAGUAAAGAUUUACUCAUGUUGAUCUCAGUUAAGUUUCCUGGGGCCUAUACUUGACAUUUGUUUAGUGAUUUUUACUUUUUAUAAAGUGCCUUCAUGACAAUUUCAUUUUGAUUUUCACAGCUGUGAAUUUUACAUAGUGCCUAGUCAAGCUUUAAAGUCUUACUGCCCAGGUUCAUCGGAUGGAUAAGGUGGCAGAGCUAGAAUUUGAUCUGGACCAUCUGCCUCUUAGACCCUGGACUCUCUGUGCAUAACCUUCCCAUUUCUAAAUGGGUCUAGCUCCAGAAGACUUAUAUGUGCAUACGUUGUAAAUAAUGGUAUUCCAUAGCCACAUAGCUAUGGAUUGAGAAGAGUGGGAGAAUAGUGGCCAAAAUAGAAAGCCUAGGAAGCUUCAGCCAUACCCAUACCCAAACUCUUGUAGUCUACUUUGUGAAGUCACUCCAAAUAACAACAACAACGUCAUCCUCAUAUAUGGACAAGUUACAUUUUCUUCAUGUCUUGUCUAUUCAGAUAGAAAUCUCUUUCCUUGACACUCAAGGCAAAAAUAGUCCCAAAACAAGAUACGCACUAAAUAUUAUAAGAAGUAGACUGGGUUUGGAAAUACCUUGGAAUAGUUCAUGUUUCUAGUCAGACAGACUGCUGCUUUGAAUGUUUUAAUUUACAGUAGACAGGAAUUAAUUUGAUGAGAACUGCUAGAAAAGAAAAGAAUCUUAUGUCACUUGACGGCAGGUUAUUUGUACUGAUAAGGGUAUUUAGGGUUUAUUAUUAUUGUUGUUAUUGUUUUGAAUGGGUGCAUAAAUGUCCAAUGGAGUCAGGUUGGUUAGUGUCAGAGUGAGGGCAGUGUGCUAGUGUUGCCUGAAAUUAGAUGUCUUGGGUCAGGGCUCAGGUUCUGCUUGCUGUUUUAGACGACUAGGGUCACUUAUAGGUUGUUUUAGGAAGGAUACUACCACAAGUAUAUUUCCCUAUUAAUAAAUAAAUUGUUUUUUUGCCUAAUUGGUAUACCAAAAUUAAGCACAGUGAGGCAGAAAGAUUACUAGACAGGAAAUCAGGACCUCCACAACCUGUUCAGUGAUAGAUUUUAACCAAGUUUUAAUCUUGGGUUGAGCUCUGGGCCUCAGUUUCCUCACUUAUAACAUGAGUUGUGUGUACUGUAUGCAUCUAAGGUGGCUAAAACUUUAAGAGAGUCUACGUAAAUAAACUGAAAUCAUGAAAAAACACAAAUCCCAUAUUCCUUCUCUCUACUGUCAAUUCAUUAAGUUUUCUUUGAUUAUGCCAGGCUGUUUAUGACAAAAUGAUCACAAGAGAGCACGGACAUAAAACCUUCCUCUUGCCACACUGCAAAGGUCAUCACAAAGCAUAAACACCAGAAUGAGCAGUAAACUACUUAUAAAGAAAUAUCCUAAAAAGCCUAGGCGUUAGUGAGGGGUAGAAUUUAUGUGUGAACGCCUAAGUUUAUUUCCGAAACAUCGGAUAUCACCAUUUGCUUUUUUUGCUGGGUACUCCCCCAAAUCACAGAGGUCAGCAGUAGAAUGGGCUCCCCAAGAUGUGGUUUGGGACAUCACUGUAAUCGCUGAAACAAGCUAAGUGCUAAGAUACCAACUUGUCUCUACAGGAAGGUAAUUUUUUUAAAGCUCCUACUCUGAGGAGUGCCUGUUUUAUGGCUUGAAGUUAAGUUUGGCUAUUUAAACAGGUGAUUUUAAUUUAAAUAACAAAAAGAUUAAGGAAGAUAACUAAACAGAGACUCCCACCCAACCUCCUGUUUUUGCAGAUUGAGAUUUAACUAUAAUAGUGCCCAUGAUAAACCCACUUACUAUAUGACCUAGUAGCAACACAGAUGAAUGAGGAAAAACCAUUUGAUUGAAAAAUACAGCUUAUUCAUUGCUGACACUUCAAACUAAAAGUCGUAAGUUAUGGUACGUUAGGUAAAAUAUUUCAUUACUUGUAAUAAAACCAGUUUCGAUUAAGCCAAACAGGCAAAUCAUUAAAAAGAGGAAAUGUUUCAUUGAACCCAGGGGCAGGAAUACGUAUGAUCUCAAGGUGGGACCUUGUUGGUUUAUUUAAUAUGUCAACAUACUGGGUCACAGAGUGCCCAGAUUAAACAUUAUGUAUAGGUGUGUCUGAGAGGCCAUUUCUGGAUGAGAUCAGCAUUUGAAGUGGUGAACACAGUAAAGUGGUCAGCAAAGUGAAUAAGGGAGGAUGUGUCCCAUUCCUGCCUGCCUGCUUGAGAUGGGACAUCUCAUUUUAUCUUCUCUUGCCCUUGGACUGAAAUUGACACUAUCACCUCUCCUGCUCUCAGGCCUUCAAACUUGGACAGGAAUUAUACCAUCAGCUCUCCUGGGUCUCCAGCUUGCAGAUGGUAGAUCACAGGACUUCUCAGUCUUCAUAAUCACAUAAAUUUCACCAGUACAGACGACCCCUGACUGAUGAUGGUUUGACUUAUGAUUUUUUCUACCUUAGUGCAAAAGUGAUACUCAUUCAGCAGAAACUGUACUUCAAAUCUGGAAUUUUGAUCUUUUCCCAGACCAAUGAUCUCUGGUAUGGUACUCUCUGUGAUGCUGGGCAGUAGCAGCCACAAGAUUACAAGGGUGAACUACUAACACACUUACAACCAUUCUGUACCAGCACAACCAUUGUAUUUUCAACUUUCAGUACAGUAUUCAAUAAAUUCCAUGAUUUAACACUAGGAUAAGAUAGGCUGUGUGUGUUCGGUGAUUUUACCCCAUGUAGGCUAAUGGAAGUGUUCUGAGCAUGUUUAAGAUAGGCGAGGCUAAGCUGCAAUGUUUGCUGGGCUAGGUGUAUUAACUGCAUUUUUGACUUCUGAUAUUUUUAACUUAGCAUGGGUUCAUUGAAACCCCAUCCUAAGUUGAUGAAGAUCUGUACUUUGAAAUAUCUACUUUAUGUUACUUUCUUUCAUAUGCUCAGGUUCCUGAAAGUCAUAAUGUGGGAAAAAUUCAAAUAUCAGUGAUGUUCUUCUGUUUACUAUGUAUCUACUUAAAUGCUUACUUCAUGCUAGUCUGUGUGCUUAGGUUAAAUAUCCUGUCCAUAAGAAAGCUUCCAAUUUAGUUUCCUGAAUAUCUGACUUCAGGUAAGCAAGGCUGGACCCACUAGAAGGAAAUCUAGCAGAAUUUUUAUUUAAUUAUGACCUUACAACAAACCCUAUCACAAUUUCCCUGAUUCUCCUCUAGGUUUUCCUCUAGAACCUCAAAAUUUCUAGUUUCCAAUUUCCCACAUUAAAUGCCUCCCAUUAAGAAUAUAUCCAAUAUUUCAUUUUUCACAAUCACUAUCUUAAUAGCUUGUGGAAACACAUCAACCUUUCUACCAUAGAUACUCUCCACCAGCCUAGGAUCCAUUAGAAAAGAGGACAAUGGAGUUACUUUAAAUCACCAUCUAUUCCUUAACUACAUGUAUUCUUGGCAUUCAAAUCUCCCUUUAUUAUGUGAUCCUAAUGUCUUCAUUGCUAACAUGUUGUUAAGGAAUUUUGCACUGAUAUGCCUGAGGAAUUUUGGUUUGUGAUUUUCUUUUGUUUUAUAAUGUCUUUGUGGGUAUAUGGUAAUAGCAUUAUGCUGGCUAUGACUUUUGUUUUCUAUUUUGUUGGUUUCUGCUCUUUAUUAUUUUCUUUCACCAUUUUGGGUUUCUUUGCUCUAUUUUUGGAGCUUUUAUAGUGGAAAGUUAGAUCUUUUUCCUUUUCUCAUAUAAAGACUUAAAGCUAUAAAUUUCUUGCUAAGUACUUCUUUAGCUGCAUUCUGUAACUGUUGAUGUUGUAUUUUUAUUCUCAAUCACUUAAAAAUAUUUUAAAAUUUCUUGUGUGAAUUCUUCUUUGACCCAUGGUUUAUUUAGAAGUGUAUAGUUUGGACAGAGGAGACAAGAUGGUGGAGUAGAGGACGUGAACUCAUCUCUUCUUACGAAAAUACCAAAAUCACAACUAACUGCUGAGCAACCAUCGACAAAAAAGUGCUGGAACCUACUAAUAAAGAUACACUACAUUCAAAGACAAAGAAGAAGCCACAAAGAUAGAUACAGCAGGAGGGGCGCAAUACCUGCCGGGUGGGCAACCCACAAACUAGAAACUAAUUAUACCACAGAAGUUCGCCCACAGGAGUGAAAGUUCUAAGCCCCAUGUCAGACUCCCCAGCCUGGGGUUCUGGCAACAGGAGGAGGAGCCCCUGGAGCAUUUGAAGGCCAGCAGGGUUUGAAGGCCAGUGGGGUUUGACUGCAGGAAUUCCACAGGACUGGGGGAAACAGAAACUCCACUCUUGGAGAGCACACACAAGGUCUCGUGCGCACCAGGAGACACAGAAAGUAGCAGUGACCUCAUAAGACACUCAGCCAGACCUACCUGCUAAUAUUGGCGGUCUCCUGCAGAGGCUGGGGUCAGUUGUGGCUCACAAUGGGGACAAAGACACUGGCAGGCCACCAUUUUCUCCCCAAGACCUGGCCCCACGCAACAGACUGUAGGCUCCAGUGCUGGGACACCUCAGGCCAAACAACCAACAGGGUGGGAACACAGCCCCACCCAUCAGCAUACAGGCUGCUUAAAGUCUUCCUGAAUAAACAGCUGCCUGAUGAUAAAAACACCCCCUGACCCAGCCCUGCCCACCAGAGGGAUAAGACACAGCUCCACCUACCAAUGGGCAGGUACCAGUCUUCCCACUAGGAAGCCUGCACAAGGCUCUUAGACAGCCUCAUCCACUAGGGGCCAGACAGCAGAAGCAAGGAGAACUAUAACGCUGCAGCCUACAGAAGGGAAACCACAAUCACAGAAAUGUAGAAAAAAUGAGAUGGCAAAGGAAUGUGUGCCAGAUGAAGAAAUAAGAUAAAACCCCAGAAGAACAACUAAGUGAAGUGGAGAUAGGCAAUCUCCCUGAGAAAGAAUUCAGAGUAAUGAUAGCAAAGAAGAUCCAAGAUCUCAGAAAAAGCAUGGAGGCACAGAUUGAGAAGAUGUAAGAAGUGUUUAACAAAGACCCAGAAGAACUAAAGAACAAACAGAGAUGAACAAUACAAUAGCUGAAAUGAAAAAUACACUAGAAGGAGUCAACAGCAGAAUAACUGAGGCAGAAAUAUGGAUAAGGGAGCUGGAAGACAGAAUGAUGGAAAUCACUGCUGUGGAACAGAACAAAGACAAAAGAAUGAAGAGAAAUGAGGACACUAUAAGAGACCUCCGGGACAACAUUAAAUGCACCAACAUUCACAUUACAGGGGUCCCAGAAGGAGAAGAGAGAGAGAAAGGACUUGAGUAAAUACUAGAAGAGAUAAUAGCUGAAAGCUUCCCUAACAUGGGAAAGGAAACAGUCACCCAAGUCCAGGAAGUGCAGAGUCCCAGGAGGAAUAAACCCAGGGAGGAACAUGCUGAGACACAGAGUAAUCAAAUUGACAAAAAUUAAAGAUAAAGGAAAAAUGUUAAAACCAACAAGGGUAAAGCAACAAAUAACUUACAAGGGAACUCCCAUAAGAUUAUCAGCUGAUUUCUCAGCAGAAACUCUGCAGGCCAGAAGGGAGUGGCACAAAAUAUUUAAAGUGAUGAAAGAGAAGAACCUACAACCAAAAAUACUCUACCCAGCAAGGCUCUCAUUCAGAUUCAACAGAGAAAUAAAAAGCUUUACAGAAAAGGAAAAGCUAAGAGAAUUCAGCACCACCAGUUCAGCUUUGUAACAAAUGCUAAAGGAACUUCUCUAGGUGGAAAAGAAAAGACCACAACUAGAAACAAGAAAUUUAUGAAUGGAAAAGCUCACCAGUAAAGGCAAACAUACAGUAAAGGUACGAAAUCAUCUGCACACAAAUAUUAUAUAAAAACCAGCAAUUGUGAGAAGAGGAGAGCACAAAUGCAGGAUAUUGGAAAUGCAUUUCAAAUUAGAAGACCAGCAACUUAAAACAUUCUUGUUUAUAUAUAGACUGCUAUAUCAAAACCUCAUGGUAACCACAAACCUAAAGUCUGCAAUAGAUACACACACACAAAAAAGAAAAAGGAAUCCAAACACAACACUAAAGUUAGCUAAUCAAAUCACGAGAGAAAAGAACAAAAGAGGAAGGGAAGAAAAAAGACCUACAAACACAUACCCAAAACAAUUAGCAGAAAGGCAAUAAGAACAUACAUAUCAGGGACUUCCCUGGUGGUGCAGUGGUUAAGAGUCCACCUGCCAAUGCAGGGGACACUGGGUCGAGCCCUGGUCUGGGAAGAUCCCACAUGCCACGGAGCAACUAAGCCCAUGUGCCACAACUACUGAGCUUGCGCUCUAGAGCCCACGAGCCACAACUACUGAGCCCGCGUGCCACAACAACUGAAGACCGCGUGCCUAGAGCCUGUGCUUCGCAACAAAGAGAAGCCACCACAAUGAGAAGCCCGCACACUGCAACAAAGAGUAGCCCCCACUCACCGCAACUAGAGAAAGUCUGUGCACAGCAACAAAGACCCAAUGCAGCCAAAAAAUGAAUAAAUAAAUAAAUGUAUUAAAAAAAAACAUACAUAUCAAUAGUUCUCCAGGGUUGAUCACAUGCUGGGCCACAAAGUGAGCCUCAGUAAAUUUAAGAAAAUUGAAAUUACAUCAAUCAUCCUUUCUGACCAAAAUACUAUGAUAUUAGAAAACAACUACAAGGAAAAAACUGUAAAAAAACCCCACAAGCACAUGGAGGUUAAACAACAUGCUACUAAACAACCAAUGGAUCUGAAGAAAUUGAAGAAAUCAAAGAGUAAAUUAAAAAAUACCUAGAGACAAAUGAAAAUGAGAGCACAACAAUCCAAAACCUAUGGUGUGCAGCAAAAGCAGUUCUAAGAGGGAAGUGUACAGAAAUACAAUCUUACCUCAGGAAACAAGAAAAAUCUCAAAAAACCUAACUUUACACCUAAAACAACUAGAGAAAGAAGAACAAACAAAACCCAAAGUUAGUAGAAGGAACACCUCCAAACUCAUUCUAUGAGCCUACCAUCACCCUGAUAUCACAACCAGAAAAAGAUAACACAAAAAAGAAAAUUAUAGGCCAAUAUCACAGAUGAACAUAGACACAGAAAUCCUCAACAAAAUACUAGCAAACCAAAUUCCACAAUACAUUAAAAGGAUCAUACACCAUGAUCAAGUGAGAUUUACCCCAGGAAUGCAUGAAUUUUUAAAUAUCUGCAAAUGAACAUCAACAAAUUGAAGAAUAAAAACCACAUGAUCAUCUCAAUAGAUGCAGAAAAAGCUUUUGAAAAAAUUCAACACCAAUUUAUGAUAAAAACCCUCCAGAAAGUGGGCAUAGAGGGAACAUACCUCAACAUAAUAAAGGCCAUAUAUGACAAACCCACAACAAACAUCAUUCUCAAUGGUGAAAAACUGAAAGCAUUUCCUCUAAGAUUAGAAACAAGACAAGGAUGUCCACUCUCACCACUUUUAUUCAACAUAGUUUUGGAAGUCCCAGCCAUGGCAAUCAGAGAAGAAAAAGAAAUAAAAGAAAUCCAAGCUGGAAAAGAAGUUAAACUGUCACUGUUUGCAGAUGAUAUGACACUGUACAUAGAAAAUCCCAAAGAUGCUACCAGGAUACUACUAGAGCUCAUCAAUGAAUCUGGUAAAGUUGCAGGAUACCAAAUUAAUAUGCAGAAAUCUCUUGCAUUUCUAUACACUAACAAUGGAAGUUCAGAAAGAGAAAUUUAAGAAACCAUCCCAUUUACCACCACAUCAAAAGGAAUAAAACAACUAGGAAUAAACCUACCUAAGGAGGCGAGACCUGUACUCUGAAAACUAUAAGAUGCUGAUGAAAGAAAUCAAAGAUGAGACAAACAGAUUGAAAGAUAUACUGUUUUCUUUGAUUAGAAGAAUCAAUAUUGUCAAAAUGACUAUACUACCCAAAGCAAUCUACAGAUUCAAUGUAAUCCCUAUCAAAUUACCAAUGGCAUUUUUCACAGAAUUAGAACAAAAAAAUCUUAAAAUUUGUAUGGAGACACGAAAGACCCCAAAUAGACAAAGCAAUCUUGAGAAAGAAAAACAGAGCUGGAGGAAUCAGGCUCCCUGACUUUGGACUAUGCUACAAAGCUACAGUCAUCAAAACAGUAAGGUACUGGCACAGAAACAGAAAUACAGAUCAAUGGAACAGGAUAGAGAGCCCAGAAAUAAACCUGCACACCUAUGGUCAAUUAAUUUACGACAAAGGAGGCAAGACUAUACAAUGGAGAAAAGACAGUCUCUUCAAUAAAUGGUGCUGGGAAAACUGGACAGCUACACAUUAAAAAAAAUAAACUCAAAAUGAAUUAAAUACCUAAAUGAAGACCAGAUACUAUAAAACUCUUAAAGGAAAACAUAGCCAGAACACUCCCUGACAUAAAUCACAGCAAUAUCUUUUUCAAUCCAUCUCCUGGAGUAAUGGAAAUAAAAACAAAAAUAAACAAAUGGGACCUAAUUAAACUCAAAAGCUUUUGCACAGCAAGGGAAACCAUAAACACAACAAAAAGACAGCCCAUAGAAUGGGAGAAAAUAUUUGCAAACGAUGUGACCAACACUGGAUUAGUCUCCAAGAUUUACAAACGGCUCAUGUGGCUCAGUAUCAAGAAAACAAACAACCCAGUCAAUAAAUUGGCAGAAGAUCUAAAUAGACAUUUCUCCAAAGAAGACAUAGAUAUGGCCAAGAGGCACAUGAAAAAAUGCUCAAUAGUGCUAAUUAUUAGGGAAAUGCAAAUCAGACUACAAUGAGAUAUCACUUCACACCAGUCAGAAUGGCUAUCGUCAAAAAAUCUACAAACAAUAAAUGCUGGAAAGGGUGUGGAGAAAAGGGAACCCUCCUACACUGUUGGUGAGAAUGUAAAUUGGUGUAGCCAUUAUGGAGAACAGAAUGGAGGUCCCUUAAAAAACUAAAAAUAGAGCUAUCAUAUGAUCCAGCAAUCCCACUCUUGGGCAUAUAUUUGGAGAAAACCAUGGUUUGAAAGGAUACAUGCACCCCAGUGUUCACUGCAGCACUGUUUACAAUAGUCAAGACAUGGAAGCAACAUACAUAUCCAUUGACAGAUGAAUGGGUAAAUAAGAUGUGGUACAUAAAUUCAAUAGAAUAUUAUCCAGCCAUUAAAAAGAAUGCAGUAAUGCCAUUUGCAGCAACAUGGAUGGACCUGAAGAUUAUCAUACUAAGUGAAUUAAGUCAGACAGAGAAAGACAACUAUCAUAUGAUAUUGCUUAUAUGCAGAAUCUAAAAAAAACCAAAAAGAUACAAAUGAACUUAUUUACCAAACAGAAACAGACUCACAGACUUAGAGGAUGAACUUUUGGUUACGGGGUGGGGAGGUGGAGGAGGGAUAGAUUGGGAGUUUGGGAUUGACAUGUACACACUGCUGUAUUUAAAAUAGAUAACCAACAAGGACCUACUGUAUAGCACAGGGAACUCUGCUCAAUAUUCUGUAAUAACCUAAAUGGGAAAAGAAUUUGAAAAAGAAUAGAUACUUGUAUAUGUAUAACUGGAUCACUUUGCUGUACAUCUGAAACUAACACAACAUUGUUAGUCAAUGAUACUCCAAUAUAAAAUAAAAAAUAAUUUUUUUAAAUUAAAAAUUAAUUUUUAAAAAACCAUAUACUUUAAUUUACGAAUACUUGGGGUUUUGUAAAUAUGUUGUCAUUGAACUUAAAUUUAACGGUAUCAUAGUUAGAAAACAUACUGUGGUGUCAGUAUUUAAUUUUGUUUAGAUUUGUUUUGUGGCUUACCAUAUAGUGUCUAUCUUAUGAAUAUGCCGUGUGUGCUUCAAAAAGUGUAUUUUGUGUAGUUGUUGAGUACAGUGUUCUAUGGCUGUUGAUUCAUGGUGGUUAACGGAAUGGUUUAGAUCCUCUAUAUCAUUACUGGUCUUUCUGUCUAGAGUUCUAUUAAUUAUGGAAAGAAAAGAUUUUCCUAGCCUGACUCUUGGAUUAUCUAUUUCUUCAUUUAUUUCUGUCAAACAUUUCUUCAUGCAUUUUGAAAUUCUCUUAUUAGGGAAUAUAUAUUGUCUCGUCUUUCUGACAAAUUAACCAUUUAAUUGUUAAGAAAUAUCCCUCUUUUGCUUUAAUAAUACAAUCUACUUUGUCUUGAAGUCUACUUUAGUUCAUAUAGCUAUUCUAAUCUUCUUAUGCUUACAAUUUCUAUGCUAUAUUUUUCCACCCAUUUAUUUUCAACCUCCAUGUGUCGUGUUGAAAAUGCAAUCUUAUAGACAGCAUGUGGUUGGAUUUUGCAUUUUUAUCCAUUCUGAUACUCUCUUUUUGUGUGUUCAUUCUGUUAAUAUGUAAUGUAAUAUUAAUAUAAUUGGAUUUAGGUUUAUAAACUUUUAUUUAUUUUAUGUUUGUCCCCUCUGUUUAUUGUUUCUCUUUCCUCUUUCUUAUUUUUGAUACUUGGACGUUUUAAGAUUUGUUAUUUAUUUAUCACUUGGUUUUUAAGCUACAUUUCUUUGCAUUAAUGUUUUUGUGUUUUCACUAGGAUUUACAGUAUAUAUUGCUAACUCCUUAUAGUCCAUUUAGAGUUAAUAUUGUAGAACUUCUCAUAAAAAUGUAAAAGCCUUGCGAUUUUGUAGGUCCAUUUACUUCCAAUCCACACUUCAUGCAAUUGCUGUCAUAUGUAUCACAUCUACACACUCUCUAAGCUCUCAAGAUAAUGCUGUAAGUUUUGCUUAACAUAGUCAUAUGUGUUUUAAAGCAGUGAAUAUAUAGUCUUACCAUUUGCUAUGUAUUUCCUAUUUCCAAUGGUCUUCAUUCAUUACAAAAGUUUGGAAUUUCCAUCUGCUAUUUCCUUUCAGCCUGAAAAACUUAUCAGUUAUUGAAGUGUCAGUAUGCUGACAAAAAAAUUAUCUUUUAUCUGAAAAUGUCUUUAUUUACCUUCAUUUUGAAGAAUAAUUCCACUCGGUAUAUGAUGCUAUAUUGACUGUUGACUGGCCUCUAUUGUUUCUUAUGAAAUGUCAGUGAUGUAUAAACAGUAUAUUUGAUAGCUAAUUGAGUAUCAGUCACCAAGUUCAGAGAAACUACUUCAAGUCAGAAAGUAUCAGAGGAAGAGAAAGUGAUUUAAAAAAGUGAAAUGGGGGGAAGCGUCUAGAACAGAGGAGCAAAGACCUCCACAGACAUUCUUCACAUCAGAACAAUUUAACUGGUGAAAAUAAUACAUACAGAAAACAAUCAUUCCAAGUCUUCGGAAUUGUCCUAAAGAUAUAUAGAGACUGGAGAAUCAUUUAUUCAAGAAAAUUUACUGAAUCUUGGGUAAGACUAGGGAGAGUUUGUGGCAUUUGGGCCACUCUUUCCCUUCAUCUCUGUGUGCUGCAAGAGUUCUACUCCCAAUGUGUACCACCAAGAAGACAGGGGUUCCCUUUCUUGCCAGCUCCCAGCCUGGGCCUAUGGUUUCACCCCAGAAGGAGCAGGCUGCAAGCCUUUCUCAUCCUCCACCAGCUCCAUUUUAUAGAAGCUCUAAUUUCAGAGAAGCAGAGCAGGCCUGGUGUACUGGGUCUCUUUUCCCUAACUCAGCCUCCACUUGUAGGGAAAAAGCUCUCCUCCAGGUGCAGGAGGCCUGUAAUACUGGAGAAACUGGAACCCUCAUACACUCCUGGUGGGAUUUUAAAAUGGUGUAGCCACUUUUGCAAAUAUACAUGCUUAGAUAGUAGUUCCUCAAGAGGUUAAAUAGAGAGUUAUCAUAUGACUCAGCAA